rnacentral:tRNA from 1 species
AGCCCCGUGGUGUAGCGGCCAAGCAUUACAGGCUCUGGACCUGUCGACCCAGGUUCGAAUCCUGGCGGGGCUA